GACGAACGCUGGCGGCGUGCUUAACACAUGCAAGUCGAACGGAAAGGCCCUGCUUUUGUGGGGUGCUCGAGUGGCGAACGGGUGAGUAACACGUGAGUAACCUGCCCUUGACUUUGGGAUAACUUCAGGAAACUGGGGCUAAUACCGGAUAGGAGCUCCUGCUGCAUGGUGGGGGUUGGAAAGUUUCGGCGGUUGGGGAUGGACUCGCGGCUUAUCAGCUUGUUGGUGGGGUAGUGGCUUACCAAGGCUUUGACGGGUAGCCGGCCUGAGAGGGUGACCGGCCACAUUGGGACUGAGAUACGGCCCAGACUCCUACGGGAGGCAGCAGUGGGGGAUAUUGCACAAUGGGCGGAAGCCUGAUGCAGCAACGCCGCGUGCGGGAUGACGGCCUUCGGGUUGUAAACCGCUUUCGCCUGUGACGAAGCGUGAGUGACGGUAAUGGGUAAAGAAACACCGGCUAACUACGU
rnacentral:rRNA from 1 species